GGGUUUGCAGUGGGGUACGGGCAGACUAGAGUGCGGUAGGGGAGAUUGGAAUUCCUGGUGUAGCGGUGGAAUGCGCAGAUAUCAGGAGGAACACCGAUGGCGAAGGCAGAUCUCUGGGCCGCUACUGACGCUGAGGAGCGAAAGGGUGGGGAGCAAACAGGCUUAGAUACCCUGGUAGUCCACCCCGUAAACGUUGGGCGCUAGAUGUGGGGACCAUUCCACGGUUUCCGUGUCGUAGCUAACGCAUUAAGCGCCCCGCCUGGGGAGUACGGCCGCAAGGCUAAAACUCAAAGGAAUUGACGGGGGCCCGCACAAGCGGCGGAGCAUGCGGAUUAAUUCGAUGCAACGCGAAGAACCUUACCAAGGCUUGACAUAUACGAGAACGGGCCAGAAAUGGUCAACUCUUUGGACACUCGUAAACAGGUGGUGCAUGGUUGUCGUCAGCUCGUGUCGUGAGAUGUUGGGUUAAGUCCCGCAACGAGCGCAACCCUCGUUCUAUGUUGCCAGCACGUAAUGGUGGGAACUCAUGGGAUACUGCCGGGGUCAACU
rnacentral:rRNA from 1 species